UGCGUGGCCGGUGUGGGGCCACAUGGAAACCAUCGCCCCCAGCUAGCAGCACAUUCUAGCUGGUGUCUCCGUCUCUCAAUGGCCAUUGCUUGCUAGAGAGAGAGAGGGAGAGAGACGCGUCCACCGGCCUUUCGGUGCGUCUAAAUAAAUCUUAUCAUUUCUCUUUAUUUAUUUACCCCUCGAUCUACUUCUUCUCUUCACUCCAUUAGUCAGCAGCCUGCUAGCUAGCUGUCCGUCCGUCUUCAACCUCUCCCCUCCUCUCCUGCUUUUCCAUGGACGGAGCUUCAUCAGCUUCUUUUUCCUAUAGCUACCUGGCUAGCUGCACAACAAAGCAGGCUAGCUAGCAGCUCCAGCACAAGUUGAUCCGGUACUACUCCCACUCUUAUCAUCAUCCGGUCCUUCAUACUACACCAAGGGUUUUGCUUAAUUAGCUGCUGGUUCUUCAUUAUUCAUUCCCUAGUCUGCCGUCGAUCUAUUGCUUUAUUUCUUCAUAUUUUGCUUUGCCUAGAUCGAUCCAUGUAUUAGCUAGCCAUGUAGCUAGUUAGCCAGCCCCCGGCCCUCAUCAGCUCGCUCUCGCUCUGCUCCUCCCUUCAAUUAACCAAGGAGACCAGUAGCAAAUAGCAAUCUUCGCCUGCUAACCGUGGCUGCUAUACCUUCUCAAUAAGAUCCAUUGAUCGAUGUGAUGUACAUCAACAAUCCUCUCUCCGUCGAUCCCCCCUUCUUUCUCCGGGCGACGACAGAGAUCAACGGCGGCGGUGGCGGCGCGACUGAGGUGGAAAGGUAUAUAUAGUGUAAUCCAGUUCUUGCUUCUUCUUCGGUUCCUUGCAUCUAUCUAUCUCCUCCGAUCCUCCCUUAUUUUUGGCUAUGUAUAUAUGCCCGGCCCAUCUGUCUAUCCGACUAGCUCUCUCAUCCAUGCCUGCAUCUUGCUCUGUGCCUUAAUUUGAUGCAUGAUGCUUCAAUCUAUCCAGCCUCUUCUUCUUGAUUCGUAGGCUCAUCUAUGUCUGAGUCUGACAUAUAUACACACACAUGUGAGAAGAACAAGAUAGCUAUAGAUAGAUGUGUAAGCCCUCUUCUCUCUCCUUUUCUCUUUUCUAUUAACAACCUUAGCUUCCACAUCUUUAAUCUCAAAAAAUAAAAAUAAAAUCCUCAUCUUUCCUGAAGAACUUGGAGAAUUGAAGUUAGCUGCUACAGAUUAUGAAGCAAGCACGCAAGCAAACACAGUCGGUGCUUGCAGGUGCAGCAUCAUCAAGAUUCACAUCCAGCUCAUCCUCGGUGAUAUGCUAUAUACAUAAAUAUAUGCGUAUGUGAUGAGAUGAGAAUCUUGAUGAUGCUGCAUCAGCAAACACUCACUCAUCCCACCUGGACAGUGAGAGACGCCGAAUCCGGCAGAAAUUAGGUUGGAUUGGACCCAACAUAUGAAGUGCCGCUGACCAUACAGAUGUUGUAUGUACGUAUAGUUUGCCUACCUUUUGCUGGCUAAUAAGCUCUGUUUCAAUUGGCAUCGAUCGAGUCAGUAUAUAUAUAGCUGCAGUGUGCAAGGUGAGUACAUACAUAAUACAGUGCUUGGUUUUGAGUAUAGUUCAUUCCUAAUUUCCAUUUGGGAAGCAUAUAUAUAUGUACCCCAUGAUUAAGGAAGCCGCGCCAUGAUUUUAUGGUAUAUUAUUAUCAGUUCAAUUUUAGGUCCCUUAUAUUCGAUUAUAUUUCAUCACCCUUCCUUUAGCAUGCAUGCAUAUCAUUUCCACACAUUUACUGAUUUUGAGGAUAAUUUUCACUUUGCAAGGAGUGGCUGCACUACUGAGGAUAUACAUUGAGUUUAAGUUUUUUUUACGUGUGCAUAUAUAUAGCUUAUUGCUGCAGGUUCAAGUUAUUAAUUUUAAUUUGUGCUUCUAUAAUCCAUCGUAUCAAUGCGCAACUUUCAUUUUUAAUUUGGUUUGCUGGUGGCUCUUCCUAUAUAUUGUGUUUCCUCUCCAUUUUCCUCCCUUUGAUAUUAUGUGUGUGCGCAACUGUGUGCAUAUGUAUUUUUGAUAUACAGAUAUACUAUGUAUGCUAGCUCAGUCGUCGAUCACAGCUAGAGAGGGACAAAAACAGUCAUAUAUAUAGAUCGAGGACACUAUUAAUUAAUCUACAUAUAGGUAAUUAAGAGUAGUGAGGUCUGUUUCCUCAAUCAUGCAUUCUUGGCAUCUAUAUAUACUUUAUUGUUCAAAACCCAAUAUAAUUAAUGUGCCAACGCACUGCUGCACGUACUCCCGUCGGCAUCAUCAUCGUCUGAUAUAUGAUUGAGGUACACAGAACAGACAUGCUCAUCUACAAAAUAUUCCCAAUCUCAUCAUUAGUUGAGAUGUUGUGUCAUCAACAUCUAGCUAACUGCAAUACUGCAUAGUUAUAUACUCCUGUGUACUAUACUCUAUCUGGUACCUCACAGAGAAUAUAGCAGUCGCCUCCCCUGCAGGCAGCUCAAGCUAUAUAUUCACAUGGAGCAGCCAAUUUUUGCAACAUCAGCUAACACUACGCCGUACUUAAUACUUAAUUCGGCUGUCAACACAGAGGAGACUCAAAUAAUUGAAGUUCCAGCGCGUCUGCAGUCAGAAAAACAUGAAGGUUUGUUCAUCAGAACCACAAAUAUAAUGCAUACAUAUAAUAACUGGGAAGCUUUUGUGAUUUGUUUGUUUCUAAUGAUGGAUGGACACCCAACAAGGAAUAUGGAGUGCUGAUCGAGUCUCACAAUUAUAUGGUUAUUCUGUGGAAUAUA